GCUUAAAUUAAGCUCAUAUGUUAGUCUUAAAGAUGCCACAGGAGUCUCUGUUGCUUUUUACAGAUCCAGACUAACACAGCUGCUCCUCUGAUAUCUGCUGAAAUAU